rnacentral:rRNA from 1 species
UGGGGAAUAUUGCGCAAUGGGGGAAACCCUGACGCAGCAACGCCGCGUGAUUGAAGAAGGUCUUCGGAUUGUAAAAAUCUUUUAUCAAGGACGAAGAAGUGACGGUACUUGAUGAAUAAGCUCCGGCUAACUCCGUGCCAGCAGCCGCGGUAAUACGGAGGAUGCGAGCGUUAUCCGGAUUUAUUGGGUUUAAAGGGUGCGCAGGCGGCGCGCCAAGUCAGCGGUCAAAGUUCCGGGCUCAACCCGGUGUCGCCGUUGAAACUGGCGUGCUCGAGUGCGUGCGAGGAAGGCGGAAUGCGUUGUGUAGCGGUGAAAUGCAUAGAUAUGACGCAGAACUCCGAUUGCGAAGGCAGCUUUCCAGCGCGCUACUGACGCUGAGGCACGAAAGCGUGGGGAUCGAACAGGAUUAGAUACCCUGGUAGU